AAACCCGCCAACUUUAAAAAUCGGGGGGGUUCAGGCCCCUCUACCCCCA
rnacentral:tRNA from 2 species